CCUACGGGUGGCAGCAGUGGGGAAUAUUGCGCAAUGGGCGAAAGCCUGACGCAGCGACGCCGCGUGAGGGAUGAAGGUCUUCGGAUCGUAAACCUCUGUCAGCAGGGAAGAACGGUCACUGUGCUAAUCAGCAGUGAAUUGACCGUACCUGCAAAGGAAGCACCGGCGAACUCCGUGCCAGCAGCCGCGGUAAUACGGAGGGUGCGAGCGUUACUCGGAAUUACUGGGCGUAAAGCGCUCGUAGGCGGUAUGUCAAGUCAAGGGUGAAAGCCCCGCGCUCAACGUGGGAACUGCCUUUGAAACUGGGAAACUGGAGUGGGUGAGAGGAUAGUGGAAUUCCAGGUGUAGGAGUGAAAUCCGUAGAUAUCUGGAGGAACAUCAGUGGCGAAGGCGACUAUCUGGCACAUAACUGACGCUGAGGAGCGAAAGCGUGGGUAGCAAACAGGAUUAGAUACCCUAGUAGUC
rnacentral:rRNA from 1 species